UUUCCGUAGGUGAACCUGCGGAAGGAUCAUUCAUAAUCAGUGUUUUACUGCACUUUUUAAAAAUAGUACUCACCUUGUGUGCAAUGUUGUGUUUCUUUUCGGGGAAACACCUACACCAACCUAUAACCUUGAACCACUUUGUCUGAAAAACUAUUAUGAAUACUUAAUUCAAAAUACAACUUUCAACAACGGAUCUCUUGGCUCUC
rnacentral:misc_RNA from 1 species